UUCGAACUGCACGGCGGUAAGGGCCUGCGUCGCAAUGGAUGCGGCAGGUCUUCCGCGCAUGAGCACGCAAGGCACUUGGGGCGACUUCGGUCGCCCUUUUUUUGU
rnacentral:ncRNA from 1 species